AGACCCGAAACCCGGUGAUCUAGCCAUGGGCAGGUUGAAGGUUGGGUAACACUAACUGGAGGACCGAACCGACUAAUGUUGAAAAAUUAGCGGAUGACCUGUGGCUGGGGGUGAAAGGCCAAUCAAACCGGGAGAUAGCUGGUUCUCCCCGAAAGCUAUUUAGGUAGCGCCUCGUGAAUUCAUCUCCGGGGGUAGAGCACUGUUUCGGCUAGGGGGCCAUCCCGGCUUACCAACCCGAUGCAAACUGCGAAUACCGGAGAAUGUUAUCACGGGAGACACACGGCGGGUGCUAACGUCCGUCGUGAAGAGGGAAACAACCCAGACCGCCAGCUAAGGUCCCAAAGUCAUGGUUAAGUGGGAAACGAUGUGGGAAGGCCCAGACAGCCAGGAUGUUGGCUUAGAAGCAGCCAUCAUUUAAAGAAAGCGUAAUAGCUCACUGGUCGAGUCGGCCUGCGCGGAAGAUGUAACGGGGCUAAACCAUGCACCGAAGCUGCGGCAGCGACACUCAGGUGUUGUUGGGUAGGGGAGCGUUCUGUAAGCCUGCGAAGGUGGCCUGUGAGGGUUGCUGGAGGUAUCAGAAGUGCGAAUGCUGACAUAAGUAACGAUAAAGCGGGUGAAAAGCCCGCUCGCCGGAAGACCAAGGGUUCCUGUCCAACGUUAAUCGGGGCAGGGUGAGUCGACCCCUAAGGCGAGGCCGAAAGGCGUAGUCGAUGGGAAACGGGUUAAUAUUCCCGUACUUGGUGUUACUGCGAAGGGGGGACGGAGAAGGCUAUGUUGGCCGGGCGACGGUUGUCCCGGUUUAAGCGUGUAGGUGUGUGUUCCAGGUAAAUCCGGUUCACUUUAACACUGAGGCGUGACGACGAGGCACUACGGUGCUGAAGCAACAAAUGCCCUGCUUCCAGGAAAAGCCUCUAAGCAUCAGGUAACAUCAAAUCGUACCCCAAACCGACACAGGUGGUCAGGUAGAGAAUACCAAGGCGCUUGAGAGAACUCGGGUGAAGGAACUAGGCAAAAUGGUGCCGUAACUUCGGGAGAAGGCACGCUGACACGUAGGUGAAGUGAUUUACUCACGGAGCUGAAGUCAGUCGAAGAUACCAGCUGGCUGCAACUGUUUAUUAAAAACACAGCACUGUGCAAACACGAAAGUGGACGUAUACGGUGUGACGCCUGCCCGGUGCCGGAAGGUUAAUUGAUGGGGUCAGCGCAAGCGAAGCUCCUGAUCGAAGCCCCGGUAAACGGCGGCCGUAACUAUAACGGUCCUAAGGUAGCGAAAUUCCUUGUCGGGUAAGUUCCGACCUGCACGAAUGGCGUAAUGAUGGCCAGGCUGUCUCCACCCGAGACUCAGUGAAAUUGAACUCGCUGUGAAGAUGCAGUGUACCCGCGGCAAGACGGAAAGACCCCGUGAACCUUUACUAUAGCUUGACACUGAACAUUGAGCCUUGAUGUGUAGGAUAGGUGGGAGGCUUUGAAGUGUGGACGCCAGUCUGCAUGGAGCCGACCUUGAAAUACCACCCUUUAAUGUUUGAUGUUCUAACGUGGACCCGUGAUCCGGGUUGCGGACAGUGUCUGGUGGGUAGUUUGACUGGGGCGGUCUCCUCCUAAAGAGUAACGGAGGAGCACGAAGGUUGGCUAAUCCUGGUCGGACAUCAGGAGGUUAGUGCAAUGGCAUAAGCCAGCUUGACUGCGAGCGUGA
rnacentral:rRNA from 1 species